UUUUAAUUUCAUUCAAAAUGUUUCAAUAUUUAAUAGGCUUUUAUGCCCUUUUCCCUCCAUUUUAGUUUUUUCCCCUACAAAAGGAAGAAAAAGAAAAAAGGGAAAGAAAGUGAGAAAAAUGAACAAUUGACAUUUUUUAUAGACAAUUUUGAGAAAAUCAGACAUGAUACUCUCAAAGUUCCUGGAAGCUAAAAAUCUCUGAUAGCACAUAAGAAAGUCUGAAUUUGGCCCAAGGAUUAAAGAUUCUGACUGCGCUGCUUGACAGCAAAAUAUGGAAGGAUUCAGGACCUCCUCCAAAAAAGCAAUCAAUUCUAUCCAGCAUUGUGGGACUGUCAUGAGCUGCUUGAGACAAUUCUUCUAGGCAAAAGAACUGUCAACAUGGGGGCUGAUCCAGCACAAUGCAGGUUCUUCAUUAUAUAUUUAUCCCUAUGUUUGCCACAGUAUGGAUAAAACUAACAUUUUAAAAAGGAAAUUGACAUCAAUCUAGUUUUCUCAUUUUAAAAAAUUAUUUAAAAUUGUUCAGCUUUAGGAUUAAUUAACUCUUCUCCACGUAAGCAUUUUUAAAGCUCAACAUGGACAAAAGUUAUUAGCUGCUUAACUUCCAAAACAUCUGGACACCAUAAUAGAA
rnacentral:lncRNA from 1 species